GCCAAUCAGCCUGCUCCUAUUUGUACCGGCUUUGUCUUGUCUCAGUUGCUGGAUCAUUGUAUUGUCUUGUCAAUGUCACGUCUAGUCACUCUUGUGAUGAGUUAUCACUCCUGUCGUGUCGUACCAUGUCUUUGCAGCGUAGCGAAAUCCUCCCAACAACUUCUCCUCCAACCUUUCCCAUCCGUCGUCGAUGUCACAAAGCCUCCUUAUUGCAGGGGUAAUCAUUCGGGCUUUAUUGCAAUCUACAUAUCACCGGGCGGCCCGGACAUCAUUAACCACCACCGAGGAGUUCUAUGAUGUAUAUGUUUAAUCUAUUAAAGCUCCUUAUCACCGUGGUUUUAUACAUCAAGAUGACAAUAAUGUCAGCAGGUACACUGCUGCCCAUCCAAUAUCUCCUUCGCCCUCCAGGCACUGGACCUCCGUUUCAACAGUAAUGGGUCAUCAAAUUCAAUAAAAAAAAAAAAAAAGGGCCUUAAUGGGCUAAAGCUGU